rnacentral:rRNA from 1 species
UACGAAGGGGGCUAGCGUUGCUCGGAAUCACUGGGCGUAAAGCGCACGUAGGCGGAUUGCUAAGUCAGGGGUGAAAUCCUGGAGCUCAACUCCAGAACUGCCCUUGAUACUGAGGAUCUUGAGUUCGGGAGAGGUGAGUGGAACUGCGAGUGUAGAGGUGAAAUUCGUAGAUAUUCGCAAGAACACCAGUGGCGAAGGCGGCUCACUGGCCCGAUACUGACGCUGAGGCGCGAAAGCGUGGGGAGCAAACAGGG